UACGUAGGGGGCGAGCGUUGUCCGGAUUUAUUGGGCGUAAAGAGCUCGUAGGCGGUUCGAUAAGUCGGACGUGAAAUCUCCACGCUCAACGUGGAGGGGCCGUUCGAUACUGUCGUGACUCGAGUCCGGUAGGGGAGUGUGGAAUUCCCGGUGUAGCGGUGAAAUGCGCAGAGAUCGGGAGGAACACCCGUAGCGAAGGCGGCACCCUGGGCCGGUACUGACGCUGAGGAGCGAAAGCGUGGGGAGCAAACAGG
rnacentral:rRNA from 1 species